rnacentral:rRNA from 1 species
GAUGAACGCUGGCGGCGUGCUUAACACAUGCAAGUCGAACGGAAAGGCCCAAGCUUGCUUGGGUACUCGAGUGGCGAACGGGUGAGUAACACGUGGGUGAUCUGCCCUGCACUUCGGGAUAAGCCUGGGAAACUGGGUCUAAUACCGGAUAGGACGAUGGUUUGGAUGCCAUUGUGGAAAGUUUUUUCGGUGUGGGAUGAGCUCGCGGCCUAUCAGCUUGUUGGUGGGGUAAUGGCCUACCAAGGCGUCGACGGGUAGCCGGCCUGAGAGGGUGUACGGCCACAUUGGGACUGAGAUACGGCCCAGACUCCUACGGGAGGCAGCAGUGGGGAAUAUUGCACAAUGGGCGCAAGCCUGAGGCAGCGACGCCGCGUGGGGGGUGACGGCCUUCGGGUUGUAAACUCCUUUCGCUAGGGACGAAGCGUUUUUGUGACGGUACCUGGAGAAGAAGCACCGGCUAACUACGUG